ACUGGGAGGAAGAGGCCUGCAGUUACCCCUGGACCAUAUGUGGUGACCUACAAGAGGUGACUUAAUACACAAGCACCACGGAGAGAGGGUGUGCAGCGUCCCUAAAGGAGGGGUCGCUCUCAAUGGCGAGGACACCAGAGCAAGCAGGCCUGGCUCCGGAACGUGAAUUAAAACAGCGGCAUGAGUAAAGAGAAUACAGCAGAGUAGCUGCCAUUCAGAUGAUCCACCACCGUUCCAGCCACACCUGCACCAAGCUUCUGGUUGUGCAGCCGGGCGAGUAACAAGUCUCCCCCAGACUUCUUGGGACGGCCCUGGAAAUCAGACAUAUUGAUCCUAACCUCCAGCUGAUCCCCUACGUGCCACUGUCCUCCCCCCCUCCCUGGGAGAAUGGUGAAGGUGCUGUGAGCUGGGUCACUGGUCUGCUCCAGGAUAAGAGGAGUUGGCAAUAGUGGAGUUUCAGGCCAAGCAAUGGAGUCCAGUAGGAGGCGUUCCUCCACAGCGUCCUCAGGGGACAGUGGCUGGAAGGUGCAGAAGCCCCGAUGCACGUCAGGGUCAGUGGAAACUCUCGGGGCCAUGAUGGUGGAGUUCACCUCAUGCUGAAACUGGCUGGGGGUCUACGGAGAGAUGGAUCUCCAUGUUACGUAACACAAGGAUUAAAACAGCCACAGCCAGACAGAGGAAGAGGAUGCUGUACUCCUUUCUUAUACAAGCUCUGGCCUUCAUGAUAGUCUUCAUCGAUGGCUGCAGCUUAGCACGGUGAGCACUUCCUCCAGUACUGGAUAUAAAAAUGAAUACAAAAACAAUGGGUAAGUGACACCAUGUUUUACUAAAGGAUA